GCCCAGCUAGCUCAGUCAGUAGACCAUGAGACUCUUAAUCUCAGGGUUGUGGUUUCAAGCUCCACGUUGGGUG
rnacentral:tRNA from 1 species